rnacentral:rRNA from 1 species
CCUACGGGGGCUGCAGUGGGGAAUAUUGCGCAAUGGGCGAAAGCCUGACGCAGCGACGCCUCGUGAGGGAUGAAGGUCUUCGGAUCGUAAACCUCUGUCAAGAGGGAAGAAACCCUUGAGCUCAAAUAGGGCUUGAGGCUGACGGUACCUCUAAAGGAAGCACCGGCUAACUCCGUGCCAGCAGCCGCGGUAAUACGGAGGGUGGAAGCGUUAAUCGGAAUCACUGGGCGUAACGCGCUCGUAGGCGGUUUGGUUAGUCAGAUGUGAAAGCCCUCGGCUUAACCGGGGAACUGCAUUUGAUACUGCCAGACUUGAGUGUCGGAGAGGGUGGCGGAAUUCCGGGUGUAGGAGUGAAAUCCGUAGAUAUCCGGAGGAACACCAGUGGCGAAGGCGGCCACCUGGACGACAACUGACGCUGAGGAGCGAAAGCGUGGGUAGCAAACA